ACCGUUGUCUGAUUGUCUGAUUUUUCAUCAGACAACGGCUCACUCUACAACGGUGGGACUCCAAAUCCCACAUUGGUUUUCUGUCGUUGUCUGAUGCGAUUUUUGGUGUAGUGUUAAAUACGAUUCGGGUUGAAAGAUUGGGUUUUGGUGAUGAGUUAAAUUUCUGGGUUUCACGUAAUCUGUUUUCUCAAGCUGACAGACAUGAUCUUUUCUUUCUCUCUUUUCGUCCUUGGCUGAGCUUUGUGUUUCUAUUGUUGAUAGAGUGAAAGAGAGGCAGAGAAUUACAGAGAAUAGGUUCUGCAUGUUCUCUGUGUGUGUGUUUUUGUGUUCUCUGAUAAGAGAAAUAAUCAAGAAAAACGGAGAAUGAAAGAAUUUGUGGUUUUUUUUUUAAAAAGAAUUCUGAUUUGGGGUUCUGGUGAUGUAGGGGUUUAGGGUUGUCGUAUUGGGUUUGUCAUCAACAAGGAAAAGGAAGGCGAUUCUGGGUUAUUGGCUCAACCUUGAGGUGGAGGUGCGUUGAGGAAAGCAGGAGAGCUGCACCUUCUGGUAUUUGAGUUGUGGCCUGAAACAUCCGAUUCCCGAGUCAUUGUUCAUGCAUGUAGACAUAGUUGCUUCUACGUUCAAGGUUUCACCUGCUACUAUCAUUGUUGCUGCAAUUGAUUUAUCUAUUGUAAAAAAUUGGUCUGCAAGGUCUGAAAAAAAGGAGAAGCUUGAAUCUGUCAAUCAAGAUUGGAAGAAUUUUUGAGUGGAGUUAUCGGUGAUUUUUGCUCAAGUUGUAUCUAGCUGGAGCUAUCGGUGGUUCAGACUUUUACUUGGAGCACCAUACCUGGAUGUACUUACCGCCAGAGGGAAAGAUCUAAGGCAUGCAUCACCAGUUCGAUGGAGUUCGGUUCUAUUAAGCAUCAUAGACAUUUCUGCUCCUAGAUUGCAUCAACAGGUAAUGGAGCACCUGGAUGGAAACAACCACAGUCAGCUUUACAAUGUCAAGAAGGGACCUGAAUGAGUGGUCUGUGCUUAAACCCCUUCCAUCUUAUGGUACAAGAACAGAUGCAGUAGCUGGAAGGUUCCAAGUUAUCAUAAGAAGAGGCAGAGAAUAGAAAGUGGGAAGAAAAUAUAUCCUUCUGACAAUAAGUCAUGAUUGCCUCCAGUGCUAUGGUCCUUAAUUAUUGAAAGCAUUGCACAAACAAAUCGCAGUGUCUAUGGCUAAGAUACAGAAUGGUACUGACGUAGAGGUUUAUGGAUCACCAACUGAAAGAGGAAUUCUACACUUGAGGAAUUAAGAUUCUAUUCAAUCUCGAGGAUCCGAGCUUUUUCCAAUGUUCAAUGUAUCCAUAAAAGUAUUCUGCAGAGUCUCAAGCAACAGCAUUUGACAGAGUUUCAGAUAACUACAACUUCAAUACACUUCAUGCAAGUGGCUUUCUAUGGACUAUCAGUGACCUGAACAACCAUCUGGAUCAACAUUAUCUUCUCAGUAGGUUUGAUUUCAAGUUAAUGAUUUUGGUGGAGAAAUUGGUGUAACAUGUUUUAAUCAUGCAGCCAAAAAAUUAAUGUAUCUGACAAAAACAAUAUAAAUAUUCUGAUAUGUAAUGUUAUAAGAGAGAGGAUGUGUUUUGUUGCUGAUAGAACAGAGGAGUAGAGUGAAAUUUUGAAGCUUGAAUUGGGUAUUGAAGAAUUUAAUGCUUUAUUGCUUGGAACUAAAUGGAACAGUGUGGAGAGUUGGAUGUCUAGAGUGAAGGUUUUUAAUUUUCCUGGGUGUUGGGAUCAUUUUUGAUGGUGCUGUUUACGUAUAUAUGUUAACUGUUUGUUACUUCAGUAUAAAUACAUGUAAAUACAUUAGUCUUUAUUGAGAACAA